rnacentral:rRNA from 1 species
UACGUAGGGGGGCUAGCGUUGUCCGGAAUCAUUGGGCGUAAAGCGCGUGUAGGCGGCCCGGUAAGUCCGCUGUGAAAGUCCAGGGCUCAACCCUGGGAUGCCGGUGGAUACUGUCGGGCUCGAGUCCGGAAGAGGCGAGUGGAAUUCCUGGUGUAGCGGUGAAAUGCGCAGAUAUCAGGAGGAACACCGAUGGCGAAGGCAGCUCGCUGGGACGGUACUGACGCUGAGACGCGAAAGCGUGGGGAGCAAACAGG